UACGUAGGCAGCGAGCGUUGUUCGGAGUUACUGGGCGUAAAGCGUGCGUAGGCGGUUGUCUAAGUUUGGUGUGAAAUCUCCCGCUUAACUGGGAGGGUGCGCCGAAAACUGGGUGACUGGAGUGUCGGAGAGGUAAGCGGAAUUCCUGGUGUAGCGGUGGAAUGCGCAGAUAUCAGGAGGAACACCGGUGGCGAAGGCGGGGUCUCUGGGCCGAUACUGACGCUGAGGAGCGAAAGCGUGGGGAGCGAACAGG
rnacentral:rRNA from 1 species